UGAGGAAUAUUGGUCAAUGGGCGCAAGCCUGAACCAGCCAUGCCGCGUGCAGGAAGAAUGCCCUAUGGGUUGUAAACUGCUUUUAUUUGGGAAUAAACCUUUCUACGUGUAGGAAGCUGAAGGUACCAAAUGAAUAAGCACCGGCUAACUCCGUG
rnacentral:rRNA from 1 species